rnacentral:lncRNA from 1 species
GGCGCAGUCCGCGGCAGGGUUCCGGCCGUGCUGCGGUCCGCACGCUGCGCCCGCUCCCGCCUGCCUCCCGCCCUACCCCCCACCCUCCCCGGCCGAGGCCCGGCGCCGGCCCGUCCGCGGGCCCGUCCCACCGCCCUGGAGCACCAUCCGGGGCCGUGGGCCGGGCACCGGGCGCGGCCCGCUCCGGACCUCGGCCGGGGGUCCCUCCCCUCCCCCCGCUCGACCCCCCAUCCGACGGCCCGGCCGGGCUGGGACCCCCGCACCGGGGUCCCGGUUCCCGUCCGCGGCCCGGGGGGACCCGAGCGGGGGCUUCCCACCCCCACCCCGCUCCUCCCCGGGCUCCGGCCCGGGAUCCCUCGCUGCUCCCGGCGACCUCCGCCGGCUUCCCGGUCCGCCCACCGCGGAACGGACGGGACCCGGGGUCCGCGCCCUUCCCCUCCCCCCACGGGGGGCUGGGUCGCGGACCCCGGUUCCUAGGCUCGUUCCGCGGUGGGCGACCGGGGAUCCCCCACCCAGCUCCCCUUCCCGGCCCGCCCCGCUGGCUUUUGGGCCCCUCCGGGCUUUUUUCCGGCUGGGGGUCGCGGCGGUCGGCCGACGACGACGGUAGGUGGGCCGGGUGGACGGUGGUGGGGACGGGCGACGCCCCGGCUCGACGGCAGUCGGUCCCGGAAGGUUGGGGGCUGGGGGCCCGGUCAGGAGCUCCGGGAGCGGGGUCGAGCGCGACGGCUUCCGGGUCUCGCGGCGGCUCCCUCUCGGCGACUCCGGUUGGGCUCCCCUCCCCCCUCUCGAGGGUCCGGCCGCCAGUCGUGACCGGGGGUCCCUCGGCCUAGCCGCCGGCUCUCGGGCCGCCUUAUCCUGGGCGUUGGCCGGUCCCGUGACGCUCCCCUCCCCCGCUGCUCCCCAAAAAACUCCGCCCGAACCGUCGCGGCUUGCUGGCCCUGGGCGUGGUCCCCCACUCCCCUCCCCCCAUCGGCCGCCCAGCCGGGGUCGGCGCCUCGGACCCCACCAGGCUGUGGCGUGUGUGCUGGCCGAUGCGGCGGCGAGGUUGGGUGUGGCCGGAAGCGCUCGGGGUCGACGGUGGGCCGCCAUGACACCUCAAUUGUCGUCAGUACGCCCCUCCACAAUCACCGUCCCCACACGAUGGGCCCGGCAGGUCACCCAACGUUGGUUCAGGCCCAGUCGGGUUUUUCCCCGGCACGAACGCACGUCCCCGUGGGCUCCACGCGUUUUCCACCCUUUCCUGGAGGGGUCCGGAACACCGUGAAUCCACGGGGAGGGUCCCGGCACGGGCCGAGGAGACCACGACCGUCCCACCCGGCGUGUCGACCCGUCCGAGACCCGGGAAGGGAACAGGCACCACCAUUUUUUUUUUCCCUUCUCCGAUUUGCCGUGGAAAACCCGUGAACCGAUACGGGUACAGACGGCCGAAAAAAAAUUCGAGACAACACGACGGCAGGGCGUGAUUUUCUCCCCCAUCCGACAAAACCGUGUCCCUUAAAAUUCCCCACCUUUCUCUGUUCAAAUGGCCCCGAAACUGUAAAACACCGUUUGACCGCACCCCAACCGGCGCCAUCUUGGUGACCUUCUCGACGGUUCUCUCGCUCGUCAUGCCGUUCUGAGCUCCGACAUGGCGGACGAGAGAAAAUGGCGUCGAGAGCCUAGGAGCGUUUUCGCUCCAGGUGGGUAAAAAAAUAGCACGAUAACUUUUCUGUGCUUUUUUUGAGACGCUUUAGAAGAGCUUUUUUCUGCUCAGAGCGAAAAAAUGAUAGCCCUGAAAAUCUCGACGAGUCUGGCCGAGCGGCGCCAUCUUGGAGGAGGGGCGAGUCGCGGGCACCGCCUCGGUACCCCCUGGCCGAGGCGAGUCCGCGGUCGCCGCCUGUUCCGUGAUGCUACCUAGAGGGCGCUGUCGAGGCGACUCUUCCUGUUUUCGCCCUGAGGGCUAACGGUCGCUGACGUCAAACCAUCUCGUGCUCGCUGAGUCACAUCCGGUUGUUGACAAGCGAUGGAGGACCGCACCCAAUGUGCGCCCUCUAGUCAUCGCGCCUGACCCCUUUUAUAAACUGCUCGAAGAAAAGAACACCUUAUGUGAAAAAAUACAGAAUGAUGACAAGUUCAUCCAACACAACCGCUCAACAACGCCAUAUCUAUCAGUGUCCAAAAACUAUCUUCUAUCCUUUGAAACUAUAAAUGCUGCCUAUAUACAUAUUUAGUAUCCAAGACUCUUACCACGUAGACGAAAAGAAGUGAUACAAUGAUCUUGACGUGUAUCGUCUAUAUCGUGCUAGAUAUAUUCAGAUAAGACGCGCAAACCAUAGAUUUCUCAUCAGUAUCAUGAAAGACCUAUAGCUCUAUAUACGAACCUAGUCAUUUUAGGACAGCCGCCGGAGAAGCCGACGAGGGAUCGGGCGGGUGCAGCCAGAACCUCACGCCCGAUCCCGCCUCCGGUAGGCGAUUUGCAUCUGUUUGGUAAAAAGCUCAUAAGUCUGUAUGUGACCUAUAUAUAUAUUAUACGCUAUGUACACCGAACUGUCGCUGUUGUAUAAGAAGAAAAAACUCUCCAUAUUUAUAUCGUCUGAAUUUUUGCUUGAUAGACACGUGUUUGGAACUCUGUCCCCCCACGUUUUCACUGUGUAUAACAAAAAUAUGUGUUUCUCAAAAGAUCUUGAGGUGUUUGAAAACGGGGGAAACCUGCGUUUGGGUGCGCUAAGCCCCGGACUGGGACGUAGCCGGCGUCCGGCACCUAUAUUUUUCUAUUUUUUUUUUUUUUUUUUUUUUUUUUUUUUUUUACAAAAUAUAUGAUGAACCAAGAAUAAAACUCUAGCUCUCGUCUAUUUUUAAUAUGCUCUACUUAGAACCUUUUUAAUGACAGAAUGAACUCCAUGUUAUACGCUCUUUAUAUAGUUUCUCUGCACUAACCUUUAAAACCGUAUCCUUCCCUGUUGUACAAAUCAUCUUUUGAUACACAAUGAUGACCUGAUAUCCCUCCAUAUAUGUGAUCGGAUAUUAUUCCGUUAGACUUGUCCUCCUUUUUUUUCCUCAUCUCCUAUAUCUGGAGAUAUAUGUUGACCACCACCGCCAUGACCACCAAAAAGCUAGCCGUCACGACUAGAAAUGUGUAGGAUUCGGACUUUCCGUUCGAGAAGAAAGAGACCGCGUCUCUGGACGCUCUUUUUGUCGGUCUGAAUCGACCCGGGAUACGUAAGAGAGCGGCCCUACAUCGGGGGGCGCUCGAGACCGACGACGUUCCAUCUGACCAGAAAAAAAAAAGGCACCCCUCGGUAGCGACCUCUCACCAUCGUUUGCCCGUCCGCCCGUCCUUCGUAGCCAUCAUCAUCAUCUCAGGCUCUAUCGGUACCAUCGUUGUCAUCUGAAAAAAAAACUGCCUCACCCACCUGCGUAAAAACACCAUCUUUCCGGAGGUGCGGUAAGACGGGCAAAUACGGUCGUGCCGAGGCAAAAAAACGCACCAUCGACACCACACCCUCAUGAGCACCACCUGUCGGUGUUGGUCGUCCUCCAUCGUUCUCUACGAACAUCUCGACGCCCGGGUGACGGACGACGGCAAGACGUCCCGGAGAAGACGGUGUUCUCUCGGGCGGUACGCUCUCUGGAUCUAUAAUAUCUAUAGUAGCUAAACGAGACUGUGAGUACGACGAACCACAUCAUCUUUUUUUUAUGUUGCUUCUUUAGAAAAUGACUUAUGUCGACGACACUCGGCAUCAGCCAUCUUGUGAAACACGCUCGCUUUUCGUCUCUCCAAGGAACACUGGGUCCGCUGAAAGGGACCGUGUACCGACCAAAGCAAAAAACACACACGUAGUAACAUGAUCAACCACGUCUGAAUGACACGAAAACACAAUCGUAUAACGCUCUAUUCAUGGAACGAACUUGGAAUAAAAAAAACCAUCGCAGGCCAGAGGCUAAGCCGAAACCGUCCGGGGAAGCGGGCGCGAGUUUUCCGACUUAGUCUCUGGUGCUCGUUGAGCCUCUUUUUUUUUUCUGAUUCUCUGAAGAAUCACCGUCACAGCCCUAUGACGCGAAAUCAAUUGCUAGAACAUAAACGUUCUCAACAGGUAUGAAAUGAACAAACUAGAUGAUGCUAUAACCUUAUAUUGUGUGUAUAUAGAUAGGUGUGAAAUUUGUAGGAUAAAAAGUGUCGUUGUAUGAUGCACAACGAUCGUGAAACUGGAGACUGUAGCUCUCUACCGAAUGCAAAUACACAAAUGACAUCGAUUCCCGUCCCCACAUAAAGAAAUGUGCUUUACUGUGAAAGAAUGAAGAAGAUUCUUGUUCCUCGUACGACGGGGCCCUCGCUCGUCGUGCCUCUUCCCCCCUCCGGGAGAGGGGACGUCGGGGCCCUCCGUCGCACCGGGCCGAAGCCAGUGAAAUGUUUACUACACUGUCAUCAGAAUAUAUGAUGUAUAUUAUUUCCUCCAAACUCCUCACCAUAGCCACCAAUUCGCAUCACUUAAGAAAGUAGUAGCAACCGCGGCGGCGGCGACCGGCCGGUCGUCGUCUCCUCGUCCUCAAAUGUUGUACAUGUGCAGAAAAAUGUGUAAAUACGUGUUAUUUAUCCCAUGCGUCUUGUACAUAGAUAUAUGUUUUUAUAUACGCUAUUUAUACUUUAUAUAUCCUUUUGCAUAACCAUAGACAGUCAAGGAUUUUAAUGAUUUGCUCAUCCGCCUUUGAGCCAUCGCUUAGGAGUUAGUUCCUCUAUGUUCUCGGCCCACCUUUUCGACUACAGUAGCAAACCCUUGUACUACCACCCCGAUAAAAACCACAUCAUCAUCGUCACCACGACCUGGAAACGACACACGUUCCCCCCCCCCCCCAAUCUUGGGCAUGUGUAUAUAUAAAAAGAAUGGGAGGGAGAGGACGUGGGGCUCGAGAAGAAAUAAACGCCAAGCUCGAUUCGAACC